rfam:Perkinsus marinus ATCC 50983 gcontig_1104296277634, whole genome shotgun sequence.
UCCAAGGCGUUUCUCAACGCCAUCCUCCUCCUUGUUAUAAAAUAAU